rnacentral:rRNA from 1 species
AGCGAACGCUGGCGGUAGGCCUAACACAUGCAAGUCGAACGGCAGCACAGGAGAGCUUGCUCUCUGGGUGGCGAGUGGCGGACGGGUGAGGAAUACAUCGGAAUCUACCUUUUCGUGGGGGAUAACGUAGGGAAACUUACGCUAAUACCGCAUACGACCUACGGGUGAAAGUGGGGGACCGCAAGGCCUCACGCGAUUAGAUGAGCCGAUGUCCGAUUAGCUAGUUGGCGGGGUAAUGGCCCACCAAGGCGACGGUCGGUAGCUGGUCUGAGAGGAUGAUCAGCCACACUGGAACUGAGACACGGUCCAGACUCCUACGGGAGGCAGCAGUGGGGAAUAUUGGACAAUGGGCGCAAGCCUGAUCCAGCCAUACCGCGUGGGUGAAGAAGGCCUUCGGGUUGUAAAGCCCUUUUGUUGGGAAAGAAAUCCUGUCGAUUAAUGCUCGGUGGGGAUGACGGUACCCAAAGAAUAAGCACCGGCUAACUUCGUGCCAGCAGCCGCAGUAACAC